rfam:Triticum aestivum genome assembly, contig: Triticum_aestivum_CS42_TGACv1_scaffold_499500_6BL
AAUAUACUCCCUCCGUCCAGAAAUACUUAUCAGAGAAAUGGAUGAAUCUAGACAUAUUUUAGAUAUAGAUACAUCUAAUUUUAUCCAUCUCUCCGACAAGUAUUUUGAGACGGAGGGAGUAUGUU